CCUACGGGAGGCAGCAGUAGGGAAUAUUGCUCAAUGUGGGAAACCCUGAAGCAGCAACGCCGCGUGGGGGAUGAAGGUUUUCUGAUUGUAAACUCCUUUUGUUAGAGAAGCUACUGACGGUAUCUAACGAAUAAGCACCGGCCAACGCCGUGCCAGCAGCCGCCGUAAUACGGAGGGUGCAAGCGUUACUCGGAAUCACUGGGCGUAAAGGGCGCGUAGGCGGGAUAGCAAGUCAGAUGUGAAAUCCUAUGGCUUAACCCUAGAACUGCAUUUGAAACUGUUAUUCUAGAGUAUGGGAGAGGUAGGUGGAAUGCUUGGUGUAGGGGUAAAAUCCGUAGAGAUCAAGAGGAACACUCAUUGCGAAGGCGACAUGCUAGAACCUAACUGACGCUGAUGCGCGAAAGCGUGGGGAGCAAACAGGAUUAGAUACCCUAGUAGUC
rnacentral:rRNA from 1 species